rnacentral:rRNA from 1 species
CCUACGGGAGGCAGCAGUGAGGAAUAUUGGUCAAUGGACGAGAGUCUGAACCAGCCAAGUCGCGUGAAGGAUGACUGCCCUAUGGGUUGUAAACUUCUUUUAUAUGGGAAUAAAAUGUUCCACGUGUGGGAUUUUGUAUGUACCAUAUGAAUAAGGAUCGGCUAACUCCGUGCCAGCAGCCGCGGUAAUACGGAGGAUCCGAGCGUUAUCCGGAUUUAUUGGGUUUAAAGGGCGCGUAGGUGGAUUGUUAAGUCAGUUGUGAAAGUUUGCGGCUCAACCGUAAAAUUGCAGUUGAAACUGGCAGUCGUGAGUACAGUAGAGGUGGGCGGAAUUCGUGGUGUAGCGGUGAAAUGCUUAGAUAUCACGAAGAACUCCGAUUGCGAAGGCAGCUCACUGGACUGCAACUGACGCUGAGGCUCGAAAGUGUGGGUAUCAAACAGGAUUAGAUACCCGAGUAGUC